AUUGAACGCUGGCGGCAGGCCUAACACAUGCAAGUCGAACGAGUGGCGGACGGGUGAGUAAUGUCUGGGAAACUGCCCGAUGGAGGGGGAUAACUACUGGAAACGGUAGCUAAUACCGCAUACCAUCGGAUGUGCCCAGAUGGGAUUAGCUAGUAGGUGGGGUAACGGCUCACCUAGGCGACGAUCCCUAGCUGGUCUGAGAGGAUGACCGGCAACCCGGAAACUGGGACACGGCCCAGAUCCUAACGGGGGCCAGCAGUGGGGAAUAUGGAACAAUGGGCGCAAGCCUGUUGCAGCCAUGCCGGGUGUAGGAAGAGGCCUUCGGGUUGUAAAGUACUUUCAGCGAGGAGGCGUUACUCGCAGAAGAAGCACCGGCUAACUCCGUGCCAGCAGCCGCGGUAAUAC
rnacentral:rRNA from 1 species